rnacentral:lncRNA from 1 species
GUCAGUCAUAUUGAUUUAAGGGAAAAUGAAAAAAAUAUGUUUUGCAAUGGUUGUGAAAGUCAAUUUGUGAUUAGAUCUUCAUGAUGAAAAAAAAAAAAAAAGUAAAAAGUUAAGGAAGUUAAACACGUUUGUUUGCCCAUUAAGGAGUAUAUGGUACAGUUAGUGAAAGGCGUUACAACAAAAUAAAAAAUAGUCAUCUGAUAUUGGAGUGUAUAUGAUUUUUUGUUAUAAAGAAACAGACGAAUUUAUAUUUGUGCCGCAAAAAAAUAGUGUUUGCCACAUAAACAAGAC